rnacentral:rRNA from 1 species
AUGGUUUGCAGUGGUGGUCGGAGCCGAGGGUCUAGCCUGGUGCACCAUUGGUGCUCGCCCACGGAGCGGGCGGUUGCCUUGGCGUGCGUACCCACGACGGCGGUUCUGGCGGUGGUUCCAGGCGAAAAAGCGGCGGCGAGGGCCACUCCUUGCGCCAAGUCCCUGACGGCGACGGCGACUUGCAGCACGGUGGCGAUGGGUGCGUGGACAGCGACGGUUCUCUCUCUGGAGGAAGCGUGCAAUGGCGAAAGCAAUCGACGACAGGUCCCUCCCUGCCAUUCUUACCUUUCCUGUGAUGGCUCUCUGUCGCUCUCGGCAGAGCGAGUACUGAUAACGUAUAAAGUGAAAAAGUGA